GAGGAGCGAUCCCUCGCUGGAAAGGAUGGUCGUUCAGGCAGGUCUGGCAGAGUGGAGGCUCAAGCUCUGAAUCUCCUGGAGCUCCCUGGUUAGGACUCAGUGUACUACAGCAGGAUGGACACUGGUUAUGAGCAUAAUACACAGUGCUCGCAGAGCACUGUGUCAGCCUUGUACACUUUGCUUCUGUGACUGUCUCUUUUCCACCAUGUGAAUCAGAAGUAUUGGAUUUUCUAACAAGUCAAGCGAGGACUCAGAGACCUUUCUGAGCUCUUUUCCUAAGUUAUUUUCCAUUGUGAAAGCAAAAGGACCUCUAUGUAAGUUGUGGUAUAUUUGCACUGAAUCUGAUCAGAACUGUCUCAUUUGAAUGCAAAGGACAGAUAGGGGUGUCUCAGGAUACACUCUACCAGCCUGGAGGGGGAAGGUUGAGACAGCCAUGGCUGGCAGCCCAACUGGCCUCCUAUUGACAGGAGACAACCUCUUUGCUUUGUGAGCUUCGUGUCCCUGGCUUCAGCAUCACUAUGCUUCAUUAGGAGAUUAUAUUUGCCAUUAGAAGAUGCUUUACAUCAGGAAAACAAAUAUUUUAUGUUACAUUAGUCAUAAGCAUGACGGCGAGUGUUUGAUUAACUGUGGAAGUCUAUAUCUCAGCAACUGGUUACCAGGAUUACGUAUGAUAAACAAACAGAGUGAGAUAUAUCUAACCAGCCUUCUGCUGGUGACUCCUCCAUGAGCGAAACGCCUGCAACUGCCCUACUGUGCUGACCUGCCGGAAAUCUCAAGGUUAGGAAAAUUUCUCUUUCCUCUCUAUGGAAACCAAACAAAUAAAUUUCCUUCUGUGGGCAAAUGAGCCACUUCCCACUGCAUUCCCCAUUUGCAUUUUUUAGCAACAUCAGUUUGUGUGGAUAAUAUUAUGCCCUACUUCCGUGCUCUGGAGCAUCCCUACAAGACUAUCCAGACUGUUUUAGCUUCAGGUUGGUGGGUCGAAGUUGUAGCAGGAGGGAUUAUUUCUUUUUCAGAUUCCAUUUCAAUAAAUAUGUAUUGAAACUGAUCUUUUGAUUCAAGCAGAUUUUAAAAACAUUUAUUUUUGCCAAUCAUAAUUGCCUCUAUGAUUGUUAAGCACAUCAUUAAAUAUAUUAUUCUCCCCAAGUAAA